UGGGGAAUUUUGCACAAUGGGGGAAACCCUGAUGCAGCGACGCCGCGUGAUUUAGAAGGCCUUCGGGUUGUAAAAAUCUUUUCUAUGGGAAGAAAAUGACAGUACCAUAGGAAUAAGGACCGGCUAAUUACGUGCCAGCAGCCGCGGUAAUACGUAAGGUCCGAGCGUUGUCUGGAAUCAUUGGGCGUAAAGGGUACGUAGGCGGGUAAGCAAGUUAGAAGUGAAAUCCUAUAGCUCAACUAUAGUAAGCUUUUAAAACUGCUCAUCUUGAGGUAUGGAAGGGAAAGUGGAAUUCCUAGUGUAGCGGUGAAAUGCGCAGAUAUUAGGAGGAAUACCGGUGGCGAAGGCGACUUUCUGGCCAUAACCUGACGCUGAGGUACGAAAGCGUGGGUAGCAAACAGG
rnacentral:rRNA from 2 species